GAUGAAGUGGAAGCCUAAGCCUAGCUCAAAAAGAUUCCUUGUAAAGCUCAAGUCGACCUAGGGGAGGGUCUCAAAUCUGACCACCCAACCUUGGGACUUUCAGAAGCUACUCGAAUGGGACCCAAAACUAAUCUGGAAUCAGUUCUAGGUCAUCCACGUCCGGCACUGACUACAAAUAUCUAGGCACAAAGGCCUCCUCUACGACCUUGUCCCUGAUGUCGGACUCUUGAGGACAGCACUCUGAGGAGGAAGAGUUGGAGGACCAAUUCCUAUCUCAGUUCCCUGACUCAUCCAUCUUAAAGUGACCAAAAAAAAGAGAGGGAAAAGAGAGACAAAAAUGGAAAGCAAAAGUGUGGAAACAAGGGGAAAAGAAUAAAAAAAAGGACUAGGAGA
rnacentral:lncRNA from 1 species